rnacentral:lncRNA from 1 species
CUGUCUCUGUUUUAUGAGAGCAGUGUGGCCUUGUUGCCAUGUGGCUGCUGAAGAGUGCCGAGGUGUGUGAGCCCGCCAACAGCUGCUGCCCCCGAGAGAAAGGUGCGGGGUGUCAGAGACACAGGUUUCUCUCUCUCAUACAUACUCUAGGCUUUCCUCAGGUGAGGCCUCAGUUAGAGUACUUUAGGAGCAGGGUUAGAGCCAUGAGUUUCGUGGCUUUUGUGAAUUGAACAGAGGCAGGCGGCUGACAACCUGGCGUCGUUCUUGGUAGUUCUCACUCUCAGUUUGUUAGGCGAUUUUAUUUUCAACAGUCGACCAAAAUGAGCGUCACCGUGCCCACCGGGUGGGAAGUGUAACAGCGCAGUGGGGGAGGGACACGGGUAACCAUGCACUUUACCUAGACUCUCACCAAGGGGUGCAGGCUGGCCUGUUGACAUUAGGGUGUGGGUCGUGACUUCCCAUCUGUUGGAUGUGUAGCUAAGGUUCUGGGCAAGCGCCAUGUGUUUGCUGGCAGAUACUAAACUCAUCUGGCUGAAAGCUCCAGGGAUGACUGACUGCAUGGUCGCCUUCUUCUUGGAGUAACUUGGAUUGAUUUCAUGUGAGUCCAGAAUUCCCUUGGCUUACUUUAAAAAAAAAGUAUAAAACGAUUCCAGUUUGACUUAUUUCAGAAUUGGUAUAUUGAUGGAAAGGCCAGUUAUCUGUCACCUCUAAUUCUGGGAUCUAGUUUCAUUUAUCAGGUCCCUUCUUCAACUCUUAUUGCUCCAGAUCUCUAUUUCUUAUAAAUCGUGGUCACUUACACACCAGUCCUUGGUCACUGCUAGCUCAACAGAAUCCCGAUUUCUUGAGGUGCUCAGCAAGUCACCUUUCGUUGCCACAGGGUUUGGCACUCUCUACUUGGCAUCGCCCAUCUCCUCAAGUACACGCUGCUCUUGUUAAGGCUCUGUCACGUGGAGCUCAUCUGGUAUGUUUACAUUUUAGAUUUUGGCGGGGUUGGGUAUUCGAGACAGGGGUUCUCUGUGUAGCCUUGUCUGUCCUGGAACUAGAUUUUAGAUUCUUAAUCAUGGAGAAACUCGGAUAUUUUAGUUUUUAGAGUGUCCCCAUUUUUUUAAAAAUGAAUUUUGAUCCUUUCUCUAUCUUAUACCACAGAAUGGAUUUCAUGAUUUUUAUCCUUGCCACCUCCCCCAGAUGGUGUUCACCAGUGACUAGUGCUUCAUUCUAUGACAAGCAGUUCACAGGUACUAGGUAUUUAAGAAGGUAAACAAUUUAGAGUAUUUUUGCUAUGACUUUAUAGGAGAAAUGAGCUGUCAAAGAAAUAUGUACAAGUCAGGGAGCAUUUAGGAUAGAAAGUUUUUGGAGACAGGGUUUUGCCGUGUAGCCUAGACAGGCCUCCAACUCAGGAUCUUCUGUCUUGGCCUCCCAAGUGCUGCUUGUCACAGAUGUGCACCAUCUUGCCUGGUUCUGUCAGGAAACUGUUUUAUAGAUGGUCAUUUAGGUGAGUUUUCAGGAUGUAAGACUAACACAGACGUUUACACACAUUUUGUCGUCCUGAUAAAAACUUCAUUUUCCAUACUCAGCACUUUCCGAUUCUCGUGCUGCUUAUGGGAAUGGUUGUUUUGAAUCUGCUGUAUGUGUGCCUUUCAGAGAGUCACUAUCAUGGCAGGUGUUUGCUGGCACCAUUCUAAAUGCGGGAGUUCCUGGGAACCUCACUAAAUGAUUGCCUGAGUAUUAAACUGGGUAGCAGCUGUGGUAAUGCAAAGAAAAAUUGGUGGCUCUUUUGAAGGCGUGUGUGUUUGGUGAACUGAGUUCCUCGUGGUUUAGUGGAAAGGCAGCCAUGCUUUUACUUGCCUUACAGGUCAUUCAUCUCUGUUGUACAAAACACAGCUGAUUCUGCUCUGCUUCUCUGUUAAAGCAAAGCAGGUUACAUUCUUGGCAGAAGACUGGAGUUGUUUGUUUCUUACUGAGCGCCUGUGUAAGCAGCAGCUUCUGAUUAUCAGUGAGCAGGUUCUUCCCGUCUCUCAUCGCGCCUCUUAAUAUUCAUGAUCUUAAGACAGCAUCCAGAAGCAACAUGCGGAUGUUGACUCUUAGUGACUUGAAUGACUUUCAGCUGUGUUACUCUAUUAGGUAGCCAUCCGAAGGCUAUCAAAGAUUGGUGUGCGCAGAGAGGAGGGAAAACGACUCCCUUCCCGGUGUGAGCAAUCUUCCACGUGGAGGCCAUGGUCUAAGAAUCUAAACUUUUUAACCUGUAGUCUAAAGACAUGCCUUCCUUAUGCAUUCCUCAUCCUUGUUUCCCAAAAAGAUUGUUGUCAGGGUUGUGAGGCCAGGUUAAAUACCCAGAUCAGUUUCUCCUAGUUAUUGAAUUCCAGCCCGUGUGUAUUUGGUGUUCACUACUCUUCUUGGGAGUCAGUCUCAGAGAGAAACUGGGGUCAGCCACCCCGUCCUCCUGAUGCACAUGGGGUGUUGCCUUCGUGUACACUAAUGCUCUUAGAGCACCUUGUGGAAAGGGGCGGGGCAGGGUCUAUCAGUAAAACUUCGUCUGCACUUCUGUGAGCCGCAGAGUAUAAAGCUGUCACAUUUUCCCACACGAUUUACUUUUCAUCCUUAAUUAUUUUUGAAAAAAUCUUAAAAUACUUUAACAUUCCUUAAGUAGUGCCAAAUCUAGGGUAGAAGGUUUUUUUCCCCAUCCCCAAAAGGGCUCCAUCUUUUUGAUCUUUUUGUCAUUCUUAGAAAUUUAUGAUCAGUACAUUUGAAUAGUCUGGUCUCUAGACUUUGUCAGCACUGGAGUGGUCAGUUGUGAAUAUCAAAACCUACUACUGUUUUCCUUUGGAGACGUGGAAUUGCCAUUUUGGGCACAGAAGGUCCUGUUUAAGCAACAUGUGACAGAUCACCUAAACCAAAGCCUGCCGUAAGGGGCGCCGACUCCCAGUGGUCACCAUCACCUCCAUCGCUGGGACAGGGCCGUGUCAGUGCACAGUAAGUGCUGUCUGUAGCGUCUCUCUCUACCCGGGGUCUCUAGCGUGUCACUCUUCACAUUUCCCGAAUCCCCGAUGCUAAGAUUCUGUUUUGUGGUGUUUUACUGCUCGUGUGUGAUUGGUUAUUGUUUUUUUAAUGUUGUUUGUUUGUUUGAACCAAGUGGGACUAUAAAUGUAGAUAGAUGUGUUUUAGUACCAAGAUGUUCUUUUUUCAAAGCCCUAAAUUUCUGAUUUCAUUAUCAGUCUUCAGAUGUCUAUUUUAUUGCUGAGGAGCAGAGGACUUUAUUUCCACCUCCCUAUAAAGUGUGAGCACUGUGUUCAGCGAGCUGCAUUGUGUGCUUUUGCUGAGAACUUCUCUGUAAACACAGUUGCCUUGUUGAGUUUCGUUGUAAACUGACUCGCCAUGCGAUGCACUGUUGAUAGCUUCCUGAUGUGUGGUGGACAAGAGUGAUAAAAUAAAGCUUACAAAGAAAAG